GACGAACGCUGGCGGCGUGCUUAACACAUGCAAGUCGAACGGCAAGGCCCUGCUUUUGUGCUCUGCUCGAUUGCCGAACGCGUGAGUAACACGUGUGUAACCUGCCCUUGACUUUGGUAUAACUUCACGUAACUGGGGCUACUACCGUAUAGGAUCUCCUGCUCCAUGGUGGGCGUUGGAAAGUUUCGGCGUUCGGGGAUGGACUGGCGGCUUAUCAGCUUGUUGGUUGGGUAGUGGCUUACCCAGCCUUUGACGGGUAGCCGGCAUGUGAGGGUGACCGGGGACAAUGGGACUGCGAGACGGCGCAGAGUGGUACGGGGGGCAGAAGUGGGGAGUAUUGCACAAUGGGCGGAAGCCUGAUGAAAAGGCGCCGCGGUCGGGAAGACGGCCUUCGGGUUGUGAACCGCUUUAGGCUGUGACGAAGCGUGAGUGACGGUAAUGGGUAAAGAAGCACCGGCUAACUACGUG
rnacentral:rRNA from 1 species